GGCAGCGGGUGUAAAUGAGCGUCAUUCCCCGGGAGUCCGGGCAGCAAAACACACCAGCCGGGGACCCGCCCCGGGGAUUCACACCACAUCCUUAUCACUACAGGCAGCUGUGACAGUUUCAACAUACAGGGCACCAGAGUACAUCCCUGACAGACUCAAAUGGGGCCAGUUCAGAUCCAGAGGAAGGAAGGAGCAACGGAAUUCCAAGUGAGAGACAGAGAGAGCAGGAAAGAACCAAAGAAAAGAAGGAACGAAAAGCGCAGACGGGGAGGAGACAGAUCGGAACCACCGACACGCAGCAAGUGGCAGUGAGUGAGAAAAUGACCGAUCCAUGUCAAGAUGUAUGAAAAAAGGACCUUAUCCAGCAGGAAAAGGGAAUGUUGAGAAAGUCACAGAAAUGACGCAUUAUAUGUAUAUAUUACAUAAAAAUUGUGC